GGGGCAAUGGCGUAGUUGGGAGCGCGUUUGACUGAAGUAUAAAAACUUCACCACGACAGGAUUCGGCCCAGCCAAUUCCAGUUAGUAAUCAGAAGGUCACCGGUUCGAUCCCGGUUUGCCCCA
rnacentral:tRNA from 3 species